rnacentral:rRNA from 1 species
AACGUAGGAGGCGAGCGUUAUCCGGAUUUACUGGGUGUAAAGCGCGUGCAGGCGGCUUCGUGAGUCGUGCGUGAAAGCUCCUGGCUCAACCGGGAGAGGUCGUGCGAUACUGCGGAGCUGGAGGUAGGUAGAGGCGUGUGGAAUUCCGGGUGUAGUGGUGAAAUGCGUAGAGAUCCGGAGGAACACCAGUGGCGAAGGCGACACGCUGGGCCUGACCUGACGCUAAGACGCGAAAGCAUGGGGAGCGAAC